rnacentral:piRNA from 1 species
UGGUCCAAGACUGUGAUCUGUGUGUGUUG